rnacentral:rRNA from 1 species
CCUACGGGAGGCAGCAGUAGGGAAUUUUGCGCAAUGGGCGAAAGCCUGACGCAGCAACGCCGCGUGAUCGAGACGCCCUUCGGGGUGUAAAGAUCUGUCAGUGGGGGCGAAACUUGACGGUACCCACAGAGGAAGCACCGGCUAACUCCGUGCCAGCAGCCGCGGGAAUACGGGGGGUGCACGCGUUGUCCGGAAUCAUUGGGGGUAAAGAGUUCGUAGGCGGGACGUAAAGUUUGGUGUGAAAGGCAGGGGCUCAACUUCUGUACGGCACUGGAUACUUGCGAGCUAGAAUGCGAUAGAGGUAAAGGGAAUGCCUGGUGUAGCGGUGAAAUGCUUAGAUAUCAGGAGGAACACCGGUGGCGAAAGCGCUUUGCUGGGCCGUAAUUGACGCUGAGGAACGAAAGCCAGGGGAGCAAAUGGGAUUAGAUACCCCAGUAGUC